rnacentral:rRNA from 1 species
AUUGAACGCUGGUGGCAGGCCUAACACAUGCAAGUCGAACGAGUGGCGGACGGGUGAGUAAUGUCUGGGCAACUGCCUGAUGGAGGGGGAUAACUACUGGAAACGGUAGCUAAUACCGCAUACCAUCGGAUGUGCCCAGAUGGGAUUAGCUAGGAGGUGGGGUAAAGGCUCACCUAGGCGACGAUCCCUAGCUGGUCUGAGAGGAUGACCAGCCACCCUGGAACGGAGACACGGUCCAGACUCCUACGGGAGGCAGCAGUGGGGAAUAUUGCACAAUGGGCGCAAGCCUGAUGCAGCCAUGCCGCGUGUAUGAAGAAGGCCUUCGGGUUGUAAAGUACUUUCAGCGGGGAGGCGUUACCCGCAGAAGAAGCACCGGCUAACUCCGUGCCAGCAGCCACGGUAAUAC